UACGGGGGGUGCGAGCGUUGUCCGGAAUCAUUGGGCGUAAAGAGUUCGUAGGCGGUCAUAUAAGUCAGAUGUUAAAGGCGCAGGCUUAACCUGUGUACGGCAUUUGAUACUGUAUGUCUUGAAUGCGGUAGAGGUAAAGGGAAUUCCCGGUGUAGCGGUGAAAUGCUUAGAUAUCGGGAGGAACAUCGGUGGCGUAAGCGCUUUACUGGGCCGUAAUUGACGCUGAGGAACGAAAGCCAGGGUAGCAAAC
rnacentral:rRNA from 1 species